ACUGAGCUCCUGGCAUUCAGGAGCUGGCAUAUAGAACGUACUCACUGAACAUUCACCGAGUAGCAAGGUCCCUGCAUAUAAACCACCCUCCAAAACCCCCAAUCAGAAGCAUGGCGAAAGAGACUAGCUCCGGCUAGGACGGAGGAAAGCCUACGUGUGCCAGGCUGAAGAAGAGGGUGUGGUGUUAGCUGCCUAAGAGCAGAUGGACGCACAGUUGGAGAAUUAGGGAAUGCUGGGGUAGGGGCUGCCUCUUGCCACGCCAACAUGAAGACCUGUGGGAGUGAAGCCCAGGUCACAUUCGAGGAAUGGUGCUGAGCGCAGCUGCAGGCCUGGGCCAGGGCGGUACCUGGUCCCUUCCAGGCCAGGCCAGGCCGGCUUCCCACCUGUAUA